rnacentral:lncRNA from 1 species
GCCCGUGAUGAGGUACGCCAGCCUCGGCGGCGGCUCGGGCGGCCUCCGGUGCCGCCGCCGCUGCUGCUGCCACCCCGGCGCCGAGGACGACACGGGCGACGGCGAGGAGCGCGCCGCGCCGAGCGCCGCGUAGAGGAUGGGGAGCGAGAGGAGCGGGAGCGCGAGGAGCAGAGCGCGCAUCCACCGGAGGCGGUGCGCCGGCGGC